UCCCCACCUUGCUUUGAUCAACGCAGUCCAAGAGCAUCCAUCGGCAGGGACGGGGAUGGGACGAAGCGGCCGGAGCGACAGGGAGCAGCCAGGCCGGUGUGGGCAGAGCCCCGCAGAGACCACCCGCACCGCCGCACCCUCGCCCUGGAAACCAAAGGAUGGAGGAGCCCCGUGGGGUGCUGUGGACUGGGCUUUCCUGCCCGUGGGAGCUGCCAGGCUGGAAGAAGGCUGCUCCCAGCAUGGGUUUGCAGCAGCAAAGUUGUACGUGGCUGUCGCGGAUGGGCUGGUUUGGUCGCAUCCCUCCACGGCAAGGGCAGUGCCUGCGGAGCCAGGCAAGGGAAGUUAGCUUCGCUCCCUCGAGGAUGCUCGAGACCCCGUCACCACUCCCAGAUGGGGCAGCUGCCGGCAGCACACGGGGGGCUUUGCUGACCGUGCCCCACAGUUGGGUCAUUGGGACCCCCUGCAAGCGACCCGCAGCAACAAGGACAUGAGUGAAGAGGUGCCACCGCAUGGGCCGGGGACGGCGUUGGGGUCACCCUGUUCGCAAGAGACCCAGCACGAAGCAUGGCUCUUGUUGACACGAGCGGAUUCCGUGGGGUCCAGGUGACCAAGGAAGGCUGGAGAAAAGCCAAGGCUUGGUUUGAAGCGUGGGCAGGAUCCGUGCAGAUGCCCUUCCGAUCCCCAGGGUAAGGGCUUGCUCCCUCCCUUCCUAUAUAAACUGAAGCCAGAUGUGCCCGGGGGCUCCCACCUGGGGGUCCCCCCACACCUCGGUGCCAGAUGGGGUGCAUGGACCACGAGGUGACAUCCUGGGAAGCUGGAGGGACACAGAGCUGCUGCCACCGAGCCUCAGGUAUCGGGAGGACGAGGUUGACAAGGCUAAAGGAUUAAAAAAAAAUCACGUGCAUUAAAGGUGUUCA